UAGUCCACGCCCUAAACGAUGCUCACUCGGUAUUGGCGAUAUAAUGUCAGUGCCUAAGGGAAACCAUUAAGUGAGCCACCUGGGGAGUACGUUCGCAAGAAUGAAACUCAAAGGAAUUGACGGGGGCCCGCACAAGCGGUGGAGCAUGUGGUUUAAUUCGAUGAUACGCGAGGAACCUUACCAGGGCUUAAAUGUAGAUUGACAGGUUUAGAGAUAGACUUUUCUUCGGACAAUUUAUAAGGUGCUGCAUGGUUGUCGUCAGCUCGUGCCGUGAGGCGUCAGGUUAAGUCCUAUAACGAGCGCAACCCCUGUUGUUAGUUGCCAUCGAGUAAUGUCGGGAACUCUAACAAGACUGCCGGUGCAAACCGCGAGGAAGGUGGGGAUGACGUCAAAUCAUCACGGCCCUUACGUCCUGGGCCACACACGUGCUACAAUGGUAGGUACAGAGAGCAGCCACUGGGUGACCAGGAGCGAAUCUAUAAAGCCUAUCACAGUUCGGAUCGGAGU
rnacentral:rRNA from 1 species